rnacentral:rRNA from 1 species
AUUGAACGCUGGCGGCAGGCCUAACGCAUGCAAGUCGAACGGAUCCUUCGGGAUUAGUGGCGGACGGGUGAGUAACACGUGGGAACGUGCCCUUUGGUUCGGAACAACUCAGGGAAACUUGAGCUAAUACCGGAUGUGCCCUUCGGGGGAAAGAUUUAUCGCCAUUGGAGCGGCCCGCGUCUGAUUAGCUAGUUGGUGGGGUAAAGGCCCACCAAGGCGACGAUCAGUAGCUGGUCUGAGAGGAUGAUCAGCCACAUUGGGACUGAGACACGGCCCAAACUCCUACGGGAGGCAGCAGUGGGGAAUCUUGCGCGAUGGGCGAAAGCCUGACGCAGCCAUGCCGCGUGAAUGAUGAAGGUCUUAGGAUUGUAAAAUUCUUUCACCGGGGACGAUAAUGACGGUACCCGGAGAAGAAGCCCCGGCUAACUUCGUGCCAGCAGCCGCGGUAAUAC